rnacentral:lncRNA from 1 species
CCCCAUAAGAAACUGAAAGUAAGGUGAGUGCAGAGAAAAUAAGAAAAACGACCAUAAAAAAAGAAGAAACAAAAAGAAAAAGAAAAGAAAAGAGGAAUCUAAUGGGACGAAGAAAAGCACUCACCAAAUGAGAAACACUCAGUUGGGUAUAAAAAAACAAACAAAAUAAACUGAGUAACUAGUUGAAAAGAAACGAAGUUACUACCGUUCAAGGGUACCUUGGUAGGAUUCUCUAGAGAGCAUGUACAAGUGCUAGAGCAUCUGCCCAUAAUGAUCGCCUUUGGCAUUAGAGACCAUGCGAAAAG